rnacentral:lncRNA from 1 species
UGCUAAUUUGAAUUUCAGAACACACCUAAACCACAUUCUGAUCUCCAGAUUGUUGAUGUAUUCUUCGAAGUGAGAUAACCUGCACUGGUCACAGAGCUCCACGUGAGGAUUUACCAACUCUGAGCAGAUUGGAAGAAAUAUUUUGUGGAGGUGGCUGGUGUGGUACAGCUGUUGGUGGCUACAAGCAGUGCAAGUUUUGCUCCUCAUCUGAAGCUAAAGGUUCAUGUAACAAUCACACCCGCGGCUCACUUCUGCAGCCUUCAAGAUAAUCUGUUUCCUGAAAAUAAGGGAACAAUGCUGGGAGGGCAAAGGUAACUUUGUUUUCACUGAUAUUUUUGUUAAGGCCAGACAGUGUCAGGCAGAACUCUUUCCUUCCCCCACUCUCAUUGUAUUUCCUAUACAAAGGUCAAGUGCAAUCACAGACCACAGUGAAAAG